rnacentral:rRNA from 1 species
CACGCAGGCGGUCUGUCAAGUCGGAUGUGAAAUCCCCGGGCUCAACCUGGGAACUGCAUUCGAAACUGGCAGGCUAGAGUCUUGUAGAGGGGGUAGAAUUCCUAGUGUAGCGGUGAAAUGCGUAGAUAUUAGGAGGAACACCAGUGGCGAAGGCGGCUUACUGGACGGUAACUGACGUUGAGGCUCGAAAGUGUGGGUAGCAAACA